rnacentral:rRNA from 1 species
UACGAAGGGUGCAAACGUGGCUCGGAAUUAUUGGGCGUAAAGCGCACGUAGGCGGCAUUGCAAGUCGGAUGUGAAAUCCCUCGGCUUAACCAAGGAAGUGCAUCCGAAACUGCAGUGCUUGAGUACUUAAGAGGAUCGCGGAAUUCCCGGUGUAGAGGUGAAAUUCGUAGAUAUCGGGAGGAACACCAGUGGCGAAGGCGGCGAUCUGGGAAGAUACUGACGCUGAGGUGCGAAAGCGUGGGGAGCAAACAGG